rnacentral:rRNA from 1 species
UACAGAGGUGGCAAGCGUUGUUCGGAAUUACUGGGCGUAAAGGGCGCGUAGGCGGUCUUCUAAGUCUUGUGUGAAAUCCCUCGGCUUAACUGAGGAACUGCACGGGAUACUGGAAGACUUGAGUUCGGGAGAGGGAAGCGGAAUUCCGGGUGUAGCGGUGAAAUGCGUAGAUAUCCGGAGGAACACCGGUGGCGAAGGCGGCUUCCUGGACCGAUUACUGACGCUGAGGCGCGAAAGCGUGGGGAGCAAACAGG